AUUUAGUUUUGAAAGACCCCCGAAGGGAGACCCUCACUCAGACACUCAAGUCCCGGGACAGCCGCGUACCCAAGAAGACACUGAGACCA
rnacentral:pre_miRNA from 7 species